rnacentral:lncRNA from 1 species
GUCAACUUUGACGGAAUAUUCUCCUCCUUCUUCCUUGGUUCGCUGGAGUCCGGCACCAGUGCCGAUGCGAUCGCCUAUUUUUGGAAAAUCUUGAAAGCUUCAUAUCUCACUCAUUUUUGCACCAAAAUCCAUGAAAUUUGAACCAAAAUGAAGCUUAGGGCUAGAGGAACAAAACCUUACCACUUUUAGGCCUUCAAAUCCAUGGGAUCUUGCCUGAGAAACCUUGACAAUCUGACCAAAAUUUCAAACUUGUCAAACUACGCUUCCCGACAUCCAAAUCACUCCAACUUUUUUCCCCCGAGCUUUGUGAGGGUGUUUUAAGGCUCCCUAUAACCUUAAAACUCCUUGAAAACUUCACGAUUACGUUUACAUGAAC